rnacentral:rRNA from 1 species
AACGAACGCUGGCGGCAUGCCUAACACAUGCAAGUCGAACGGACCCUUCGGGGUUAGUGGCGGACGGGUGAGUAACACGUGGGAACGUGCCUUUAGGUUCGGAAUAGCUCCUGGAAACGGGUGGUAAUGCCGAAUGUGCCCUUCGGGGGAAAGAUUUAUCGCCUUUAGAGCGGCCCGCGUCUGAUUAGCUAGUUGGUGAGGUAAUGGCUCACCAAGGCGACGAUCAGUAGCUGGUCUGAGAGGAUGACCAGCCACAUUGGGACUGAGACACGGCCCAAACUCCUACGGGAGGCAGCAGUGGGGAAUCUUGCGCAAUGGGCGAAAGCCUGACGCAGCCAUGCCGCGUGGAUGAUGAAGGUCUUAGGAUUGUAAAAUCCUUUCACCGGUGAAGAUAAUGACUGUAGCCGGAGAAGAAGCCCCGGCUAACUUCGUGCCAGCCGCCGCAGUAACAC